AGGAGGGGGUCGAGCGCGAGAUGGGCUGCGGGACCGUGGGUUCCAUUUACCUAAGGGCAAAUGUUAGUAGAUACGUGGAUUGACUGAGGUGCGCUUGCAGGAUUCACACAGGCUCUCUCUUCAGGGAUGACAUCAUCGGCUCACACCAGUCUUCCAGGACCACCUUCUGGAUGUUCAAGUACCUGCUGCGCACCUGCCUCCUGAAGGGAGGAGCAUGGAUUCCAGGAACCUGCCAGCAUACAGAACAACUUCUUGUGGACCCCCCUGGACCAGGACAGCGAGGGACAAGUGACAAAGAGGAUCACCAGAGUCCAGCUAGUCUCUCUCUGGGGUUCAAACCUUGAACCAAUGCCCUAGUGAGGGGGCACUGGCUGUGACCCUUGACCUUUGCUCUGCUUGUGUCUUGAGUCUGAGCCCUUUCCUGUACAUCUGUGCUUGUGUUCAUCUGCUAGUGAACUGGAGUGCUUCCCUCCCCAAAGGGGGGUCGUCCCUUUGUGACUGACCAUGUUGUCCUAACAAUGUCCUGAGCAGAAGGAUCCCUUUGG